UUGUGCUUUAAAUUUUGUACUUAUCCUACCGCAGGGCUAUGGUAGCUGGCACAUGCCUGCUACAGUGCAGAAUGGGCACCCAAAUGAUCACAGUCAGGACAACAAACAAUAUUGUGGUUGUCAUUACUGUGUCCUACUUCCAGCACAUUCCAGUGAUCGAGAUGGGUGAUCAUCCUGAAACAUGCAAAAGAAUAGCAGUCACAUUACAAGAAGGAAAUAUAUCUCUUUGUUACAUUAAACACUUCUGUAUAAUCCUGAAAAAUUAGUUGAGGGCCAGUUGGCUUGGUGAACAUUUUACAGCACCGGGAACAUCAAAGUCAAGUCGUGAUGGAUGCAGUGCGAACAAAAUUUGCACAGUAGAUUGCUAGCACUCAGCUCUCUUCUACAAAUAUCUCUCCCAACUAGUAACUAGCUGAUGAUUGCAGGGGGAGCAAGUGUACCAGAACAAUGAACACCAGAUAAAUCAUUGUCAACUUGAGCUAGUGAUCUCUUCCAGAUGCGAACGCUCCAGUGCAUAUCAAUAGAUGAAGCUACUCUGCAGAAAGGUUUUGGAAGCAUCCAGGGGGUAAAGGCCUCAAUUAAGAUAGUCACAGCCUGCUGCAUUUUUAACUUCUAACAGUGCUCAGGAAAACCAUCUGGAAAUAGUCUGGAUAUAUAUAAAGAAACAUUUGAAAACUGCAGGAUAUGUGGGAACCCGGCAUCGCUGUAAUUAUAUGGAUGAAGAGGUGAACUAAUCAUCACCAAAUUUUAAAGGAAAGAUGAGUAUAUUAACGGCUUUCUUUUCUCAUAUUUUAAUGACCAUAAAAUACAGUUAAACUAGUUCAGCGAUGGGAAUCCCGAGUUUAAAUAAAGGAAUUCAGAUGUACAUGAUCCCCAUAACAACUGAAUCAUCCACUAGUUUAAGUGCAUUUAAACAAACAACUGUUUACUGAACACCACAGUUUGAUAGGUUUGCAU